rnacentral:rRNA from 1 species
ACGCACGCUGGCGGCGCGCCUAACACAUGCCCGUCGAACGAGCGAGAGAGAGCUUGCUUUCUCGAGCGAGUGGCGAACGGGUGAGUAACGCGUGAGGAACCUGCCUCAAAGAGGGGGACAACAGUUGGAAACGACUGCUAAUACCGCAUAAGCCCACGACCCGGCAUCGGGUAGAGGGAAAAGGAGCAAUCCGCUUUGAGAUGGCCUCGCGUCCGAUUAGCUAGUUGGUGAGGUAACGGCCCACCAAGGCGACGAUCGGUAGCCGGACUGAGAGGUUGAACGGCCACAUUGGGACUGAGACACGGCCCAGACUCCUACGGGAGGCAGCAGUGGGGAAUAUUGCACAAUGGGGGAAACCCUGAUGCAGCGACGCCGCGUGGAGGAAGAAGGUCUUCGGAUUGUAAACUCCUGUUGUUGAGGAAGAUAAUGACGGUACUCAACAAGGAAGUGACGGCUAACUACGU